CCCUUAGAUGUUCUGGGCCGCACGCGCGCUACACUGACGAAUGCAACGAGCUUAUAACCUUGGCCGAAAGGUCUGGGUAAUCUCCAAAUUUCGUAGUGAUGGGGAUAGAUUAUUGCAAUUAUUAAUCUUCAACGAGGAAUGCCUAGUAAGCGCAAGUCAUCAGCUUGCGUUGAUUACGUCCCUGCCCUUUGUACACACCGCCCGUCGCUCCUACCGAUUGAAUGGUCCGGUGAAGCGUUCGGACCGUGGCCUUUGGACGGUUCGCCGUCUGUUGGCUGCGGGAAGUUCGUUAAACCUUAUCAUUUAGAGGAAGGAGAAGUCGUAACA
rnacentral:rRNA from 1 species